rnacentral:rRNA from 1 species
GCCUAAAGCGUCCGUAGCCGGCUCUGUAAGUUUUCGGUUAAAUCCAUAUGCUCAACAUAUGGGCCGCCGGGAAUACUGCAUAGCUAGGGAGUGGGAGAGGUAGACGGUACUCCGUAGGAAGGGGUAAAAUCCUUUGAUCUAUGGAUGACCACCUGUGGCGAAGGCGGUCUACCAGAACACGUUCGACGGUGAGGGAUGAAAGCUGGGGGAGCAAACCGGAUUAGAUACCCGGGUAGUCCCAGCUGUAAACUAUGCAAACUCAGUGAUGCAUUGGCUUGUGGCCAGUGCAGUGCCGCAGAGAAGUCGUUAAGUUUGCCGCCUGGGAAGUACGUACGCAAGUAUGAAACUUAAAGGAAUUGGCGGGGGAGCACCACAAGGGGUGAAGCCUGCGGUUUAAUUGGAGUCAACGCCAGAAAUCUUACCCGGAGAGACAGCAGGAUGAAGGUCAAGCUGAAGACUUUACCAGACAAGCUGAGAAGUGGUGCAUGGCCGUCGCCAGCUCGUGCCGUGAGGUGUCCUGUUAAGUCAGGUAACGAGCGAGAUCCUUGCCUCUAGUUGCCACCAUUACUCUCAGGAGUAGUGGGGCGAAUUAGCGGGACUGCCGUAGUUAAUACGGAGGAAGGAGAGGGCCACGGCAGGUCAGUAUGCCCC